AUGUGCUGUCUAUUCAUGCACGACAAAACCAAUCAGGGUUCCUGCUCAACUUCUGGAGGUUCAGUAAGCGCUUCCUUUUUUUUCCUUUUUCCUUUUUUGCAAGAAAGCGUUUCGUUUUUUCAACAAGACAAAAGACUUUCAUUUUCAUCAUUUAAGAAGAAGAAGAAGAAGAAGAAGAGGAGGAGCAGGAUUGUGCAGUUAGUUCGUCAGGCACAAAAAUGUUACAAACACGCCCACAAGUGUCGCUGUCAUCACUCAUCGUCCUCGAUCCAGCUACUUCGACUUCUUCACCACGUCCAUAGGAAUGAGUAUCCAUCGCAAGACUGCUGGAAUGAUCUCAUCCACUUGAUCAUCUAA
rnacentral:rRNA from 1 species